rnacentral:lncRNA from 1 species
AUCUUUUAGAUCAGUAUUGCAUAGAAGGUACCUUAGCUUUAAGGUAGAGAUAAGCUCAAAAUAAUUUUUUAAAUUCGCCGUAUGUACCGAAAUAAUUUUUAAGAUUUUAAUUCCAAUAAUUAUAUUUUUGAAAUUGACAAAAAUAUAUACUAGUCAUUCAGUCUCUUUUCAUUAAGUGACUCAUUAUACCGUUGGAAAUAAAUGUGAUAUAUUUUUGCCUAUUUUAAAAUUGGUGGAAACUCAUGUGCAGUCAACUUCACGUAAAGUUGAUAAUUGAG